ensembl:snRNA U2 U2 spliceosomal RNA
AUUGCUUCUUGAUCUUUUGGUUAAAAUCAAGUGUAGUAUUUUAUCAGUAUAAUAUCUGAUACACACUUUAUGCCAGAACAGUACUUGAAAUAUAUUUUUGGAGUAUAUUAACUGGAGUUUUGGAGGUAGGAGGUAGAAUAGCUUGCCCUUUACACUUCAUGCAGUGACCUGGUAUUGAAAUAUCUCCAAGAAUGGUACAACCCUU